rnacentral:rRNA from 1 species
UGUAUCCUACGGGAGGCAGCAGUGGGGAAUAUUGCACAAUGGGGGAAACCCUGAUGCAGCAACGCCGCGUGAGUGAAGAAGUAUUUCGGUAUGUAAAGCUCUAUCAGCAGGGAAGAAAAUGACGGUACCUGAGUAAGAAGCCCCGGCUAACUACGUGCCAGCAGCCGCGGUAAUACGUAGGGGGCAAGCGUUAUCCGGAUUUACUGGGUGUAAAGGGAGCGUAGACGGCGAUGCAAGUCUGAAGUAAAAGCCCGGGGCUCAACCCCGGGACUGGUUUGGAAACUGUAUGGCUG